GUGGGGAAUUUUGGACAAUGGGCGCAAGCCUGAUCCAGCAAUGCCGCGUGCAGGAAGAAGGCCUUCGGGUUGUAAACUGCUUUUGUACGGAACGAAACGGUCCGGGUUAAUACCCUGGGCUAAUGACGGUACCGUAAGAAUAAGCACCGGCUAACUACGUGCCAGCAGCCGCGGUAAUACGUAGGGUGCAAGCGUUAAUCGGAAUUACUGGGCGUAAAGCGUGCGCAGGCGGGUUUGUAAGACAGGCGUGAAAUCCCCGGGCUCAACCUGGGAAUUGCGCUUGUGACUGAAAGGCUGGAGGGCGGCAGAGGGGGAUGGAAUUCCGCGUGUAGCAGUGAAAUGCGUAGAUAUGCGGAGGAACACCGAUGGCGAAGGCAAUCCCCUGGGCCUGCACUGACGCUCAUGCACGAAAGCGUGGGGAGCAAACAGGAUUAGAUACCCUUGUAGUCC
rnacentral:rRNA from 1 species